rnacentral:lncRNA from 1 species
UCAGUUCCCUGGUCUAGAAAAGGCAAUGACCUACUACCACAAACAAGCAAGAGUGCCACCUAGUGGCAGCUCACUUAAUAUGCACAUGGUUCUCGGGCUCUGGAAGAAAUUUAAGAAAGAGAGGAAGAGAGUAAAUACUGCAGAGACUGACUCUCUGGUCUAACAUGCUUCACCAGCUUCAGUGAACUGAAUUGCAAAGGCUCCUUCCUGCCUAGGAUUUUAGAUUUCAGAAAUGUGACGGAUUGGGUUAACCCGGGAAAGAUAUCAUUCUAAACCCUAUUAACCCUAGCAUAUAUUACCAAAUAGUAUAAGGCUCUUCUGGAGACUGACCGUUUUCUCAUAGCACCGUUUAUGAUACAGCCCAAAUCAUCCGGUUUCAGAGAGCUAUUGCCCUCUCUUCAUUCACUUAGUCAUUUAAUGAACAUUUAUUGAACACCUCUAAUUUCCAGGAACUGCACCAGGCAUUAAGAACACAAAGAUGAAUAAGAUACAUUCUCCAGCUGGUGAAUUAUUCAUAAUCUAUUAAUUGUGGCGGAUGAUCUGUUGUCAACUCGGCGUCACCACCACCCCCUUUAAGGUCUCCUCUUAGAAUGCCCAUCCCUGGGAUACGGAGCUGCCUCUAAGAGGAAGUGGCUCGAGAUUUGGAAGGCCUUAGAGAAAGAGAAGCUGUACUCUCCAGAAGCAGCAGCAGCAAGAGGUCAGGUUCAUGAGCAGAAGAGAGAUCCACAGUGGCUCCCUGGUGAGCUCUUGGGGACCACUUGUGUCGCUACUGCGCCCUAAGACUGUGAGAAUGCUUCUCCAGGAUUCUAAAGAACCCAGGCGCUUUCCGGUUCGUUUCUGAGAACUAACCGCACUGUUACUGCGCGCCAGAUCUUCUUCAGUGUCUCUCCCUCCCAUCCGCAGCAGCUUCCCUCCUUCAUUACUCCCUGAGCUCCUCCGGUAGUCAAGUAAGCACCUAAUUCCUGUCGCAAGCCCUCGGUGCCCAGAAGACAUGGAGUGGCUUCUGUUUUCCUGACUAAACCGUGACUGCUUCAGACACAUAGUGAGAUAAUCCUGUAACAUCGCCAUGGCAUAAUGAUGCAGGAACAUACGAGGGUUUACGAGCUCUGAGUAGCAGGAAAGCAUCCCAGCUUUAGAAGGAUCAGGGGAGGCUCCAGGGAGAUUGGCUUCUGAGUGCUCACCUGUUCCGGUUACUAUGCCUGUGGAGGACACCACCCCGGAAUGUAAUGGCAUCAACUAUUUUUACGCUCACGAAUAUGAGUCAAGAAUUUGGACAGAGCACAUCAGGGAUGGCUUAUCUCUGCUCCCCAUGACCAGAGCCUCGGCUGGAAGACUCAGACUAGCAGCUGGAAUCAUUGGAGGCUCACACACUCACACACUUGGUGGUUGAUGCUGGCGUUGACUGAGACCUUGGCUGAGGCUCUCAGCCCGAACUCUUACACAAGGCCUCUCUGUGUGGCCCGGGCUUCCUUACGACACAAAUCCAAGAGAGAAAAAAAAGAGGCCAAAUCACCUUUUGUGACCUAACCUCAGAAGUCACACAGUGUCACUUCUACUGGAUUCUACUAGUCGAGGCAAUCACAAAAUCCUGCCCAGGCUCAAGGAAAGGGGAAAUAGACUGCCUCUUUAGAGGACAGCAAGGCUCUGGAACAAUCUGUGGGAUCAUAAAUACUGCUGUGGCCACUUUUAGAAAAUAAAAUCUGCCACACUUUCUCCCAAAGUGGGGGUUAACUUACUGAAUGAGUUAACAGGAUGAAGCACUCAGAACGGUUGGUAGAUAGCCCCUGCACAGGCUGAGAACCGUAUGGAACCACCUCCCUACCCAGCUUCCACUCUGCUUCCCUGUGGCCAGCUAUUCCCUCCCAAGGGGACCCACUCCGAGGAUCUGUUAUCUCAGACUCCAGACCAAACUAAGGCAACCCCAAGACAGGAGGACU